UACGUAGGGUGCGAGCGUUAAUCGGAAUUACUGGGCGUAAAGCGUGCGCAGGCGGUUUUGUAAGCCAGAUGUGAAAUCCCCGGGCUUAACCUGGGAAUGGCAUUUGGGACUGCAAGGCUCGAGUGCGGCAGAGGAGACUGGAAUUCCUGGUGUAGCAGUGAAAUGCGUAGAUAUCAGGAGGAACACCGAUGGCGAAGGCAGGUCUCUGGGCCAUAACUGACGCUGAGAAGCGAAAGCAUGGGGAGCGAACAGG
rnacentral:rRNA from 1 species